rnacentral:lncRNA from 1 species
GUAUUUUAUUUUUAACAGUAGAUUAUUUCAUUGUAAUAAUUGAAUUUGUACUGUAUUUGAUCAUGUGAUCAUAUAAAUAUUACACAAUUUAUUACAUUAUUACAUUAUUUCACUGUAAACUUGAGAAAUAAUUAUAGAUUAUUGUUGGUUAUCUCAACGAGAUUGAUUUUUUCACUUGAGCCGGUCGUGAUAAUCUGUUUAUCGCUAUUUUACAUAUGACGACGUUGUCAUUUUUAUGUCAAUUUCAUUAGCAACGCCACAUGGUUCCUUAGUUUCUAGCGAUAAUUUUCUAUCUCAAGCGAGUAGAUUGAUAUGAAAAAUUAUCACAAAAAAGAUCAAAGGAAAAAUGCACAAAAUAGCAAAAAUAACAUAUAAUUUGAAUAUUGCAAAGCAAUAUUUACAGCACAUGGACAUAAGUAUUCAUCACUAUUAUUUACUUUAUAUUUGUAUAAGGAUAAAAACAUGUUUUUUCAACAAAUUUUUAUUGGGUGAUUUCUGGUACAGAUAGAAGCAGAAUUUUCACACAAGCUUUUUUAUUUAUUGAUGAUAAAAACUCAAUUUUGUUAUAUCUGAAAAUUUGCUACAUAUAUUGUAAAUAAUAUUAUGUGUAUUCACAUAAGUAAUGAAAGAAAACACUUGAAGACAAAAAAAAAGCCCUUAGAAUUCUACAUCUUUAACACCUGGUUUUUCAAUGCCAUCCAUAAAUGCCUGUAAAAAUAUGUGUUUUUAAAUGAAAUAUAUUGCAAAAGAUUGUAGAUGAUAAUACUUAUGUUCAUGCACUUGAUAUGAAUUUUAAUUAGCCAAAUUUAAAUAAGGUGCACAAUUCUCUCAUUACCACAGGUUUUCAAAAAAAUGGUACAGGUACCCCAAAUAAAUCUUUUUUAAACAUGUGAAAUCAGACAUGUAUAAAAUUUAUUUUUAUGAAAAAGUAUUUAUCUCCAGAAAAAAAGAUUAUUACUAAGUCAUUUAAAAAAAAUUACAGACAAAAACUGUUUGCUUACUAUUAGAGAGCAACAAAUAAGGGAUAUAAGAAAAACCUUUUUUUUCAAUGAAAAUUUGAGAGACUUGUGUAAAUUUAUUCAUACAAUGUUUAAUAUAGCUGUGAACAAACAAAAACUUUUUCAACUUUCAAUUACUAAAUAAUGGGUUUCUGACCUGAGUAUAAUGUAAGAUAUAUGUGGUGACUGCUGUAAAGCAGACUGUGAUGUACAACAUGUGUAUAAGUGUUGUCGUCUUUACCAUGUAUUUUAUAUGUACUUAAAGGACCAGACAAAGGCAAAUACCAUAACACUGUAGAUGUAGCAUUUUAUAAAAUGCUUAGUUCAAAUAAUAAUAAAAUUGAAUACUGUUAAUUCAGAAAUUUUUGUGAUGUUUUUUUUAUCGCAAAAAUUGAAACAAAAUUGGUGUUUACAAAAUAAAACUGGCAUUUUAUGCUUAUAUGGCAUUUUUUGUAUGCAACUUUCCUGAAAUUGCAAAACAUAAACUUUCACAUGUGUCAAUUGUUCAACAAUCUUAAUUACAAAUGCAAGCAAUAACUUCUAAAUUUACAGUAAAUUUAGUGCUUCUGUGUAUUCAUGCAAUUUACUUUUAUAAAAAUGCUUACAGUUAGUUGGGUAGGGGAGGUAAUUAUUGGAAUAUAGAUGAAUCAGAAAACAGAUUUUUUGCUGCUGAACAGCUGUCUACUGCCUGAGAUAAUGUUGUGUCUCAUUAAAAUAAUAUCUGUGAUAAACCAUAUGUGUGCAAUGUGAUUGAUAUUAUUUGGAUUGUUAAAAGUAAAGCCAUAAAAUAGUAAAGUAUGUAAUUAGUGCUAGCCGCAAACACUCAAAUUUUUUUUAAAUCUUUCUUCUUUGAAACUUUAAUGGGAAGUAAACUUUAUAUAGCUUCAUUUGAAUAAUAUGAAUUAGCAGAGACCUGGGAUAAAUGUCAAUGAUUAAACAACCAUAAAACAAGUUAACCAAUCAGAACUGUUGAAGGUAUUCAAUCACUAACAGACAUCCUCACGGUCUGACAACCAUUUAAUCUGACUGGCCUGUCUCUUGACAAGAUGUCAUGUGAAUUAACAAUUAAAUGGACAUACAACAUAAAUAUAUAGGAUUUUUUAGCAUUAUUAAGUAUUUAAAAUAAAAGUAGGAUAUGAGAAUACAGUGAUCUUCCUCCGACACAUUGAUAUACAAAAGUCUGAACUGUUAAAAAAAAUAAGGGAUUUACCAAAAAAUUAACCAACAAAGUUAAAUUGAAGAUAGGAAUAUUAAGUCUAUAGUGUAAUUUUGUUAUCCAACCAAAAUACAAUAUCGUUUUAAGAUAGAUUAUGAUAGGAAAUAAUUCUGUACAUGUACUUCAACAAAUUUCAAACUCUAGAAUUCUGCAUUAUAAUCUAUUGCAUUUUGCGAUUAAUGUAAAAAACACUUAAUUAACCAGCUAUAAACUAAAAACAAAUAUUUUAUUUUAUUUUCUACAAAUAUGAGAUGUAAGUUAUUAUUUUAUAGUAUGUGUAACUUUUAUGUUUAAUAGCAAUAUACUUGUAUUUUUUUCUGUUUAAUUUAAUGUGAUUAUCUCCCUUUGUCUAUUUAUAUCUAUCUGAAUCACAAAAAUGUUUUCUGUGAUUAUCUCCCUUUGUCUGUUUAUAUCUAUCUGAAUCACAUAAAAUGUUUCU